rnacentral:lncRNA from 1 species
CUGAAUUGGGAGUGGAAGAGUCUGUGUAUGUUGGGGUUCUUUCUCUCCUUCCUUCCUAUGGAUCUUCAUGUCGUCUCUCUUAAUUCUGGGAUGAAGAAUCGAAAACAAGACGAACAACAUGUAACCUUUCCUUUUCUUUCAUUUUUUUUUCUAAUUUUUUAACUGUUUUUCUCUUGAUCGUGAUUUUUCAGGGUUUUGUAUUCGACCAACUUCACUACUUUGAUUCUUUGUUUGUUUGAUUUUCUUCUCUUCGUGUUUUGAUAUCUUGAUCAUUUGAUGUUAUGUUAAAUAUAUAGCUAUAUUUUUGAAGCAACAACUAACUACAUCUCUUGAGAAAGUAAGAUUUUAGGCUUCUACGUGAUAAUCUAGAGCUAUACUUUUGAAGCAACAACUAACUGCAUAUUUUGAGAAAGUUACUCCAUCUCUUAAAGUGUGUAUUAAGGUAUCAUGUUGUACUCUGAAACUCUGUAAUUAUUUCUAAUAUAUAAACUAUGAACUAUUAGUGUUCAUGAUGGAAAAUCAUUUGGUAGUCUAUGAGGCAAUAUGGUAAUAAUUUAUGUCAUGAAUUUCCUUUUUUUAUUCCUGUCAGGUUGUUGUUCUCAAAGAUAGUCCAAGAGGGACACAUUUUCGUUGCGCUGGACCAUAGAACAUGGUAAGUUUAUAUACUAUAUGAAUUUAUUUCUAAAAUUAUUAAUAUAUUUUGUGUUGUUGUUUAAUGUGUUACCGUUUCCCAAUACACAAGCAGGAUUAUUGGUAUCAAUCAACAAACCAGUUUUUGUAUGUAGAGUUUAUGUUAAUAUUAAUAUUGUGUUGUGUUUAGGCCAUGAGACCCCACAUGAAAGGUGAAGAUCUUGGUUUCCUUUAUGUUAUGACUGGUCAAAGAUUUCUUGUGAUAUUUCAACCUGUUGAAACUACCCAAGUAAGUCGCAAAACCCUCUCAAUUUUUUUCUUCCUUGACUAUCCGUUGGAAUAUGAAAGGUUCUAAUAACAGUGAUGAGAGUAUCCUAGUUUUCUUCAUUAAGCUAAUUAUAUUAAUGGGCUUUAUCCUAGAAAAUAUCCUCACAUAGGAGGUAUUUUCUAACAUAAACUCAAGUCUUGAAGGGUUCCAUGUUAUCCAUCAAAGUGUGCUUCUUUAUUUAUAGCUUUCAUUUGUAUGAUUGGUGUAACACUCUGUUUUUUUUAUUAUAUAUUUUAUUAUAUUUUAAUUGUUUGAAUUAUGGAUUUUGAUGAUUUAUUUUAUGGUUGGGUGUUGGCAGAGUGUGUAUCCUUGAGUUGGGGGUAUAGAGAGAUGAUAGAAGUAAGUAGAAUAAUUUUGAUGAUUAAAAAUAAUGUUUUAUUUAUUUUUAUUAUAUUAAUUAGUGAAGAUAGAAUAAUUGGGCCAAAAAUAAGAAAUUGAGAAAGUUAGUGGGAGGAAGGAAUAUGAGAUAAUUAAGUUUGGGCCAAGUUGGUAAUUUGGAAAAGUUUACCCUAAAAAUAAAAAGUUAAGAGGAACCUAGGUUUAGGGGAUUUUCACAUUACGUGAUAUUUGAGAAAAAUGAGCAAAUAGGCAAUAGGAAAGGUGAUCAAAGGAAGAGAGUGAAGGUUUCAAUUCAGAAUUUUUGCAAGGAGAUCAGGUAAGGGUGGGAAUUUGUUCCAAUAGUAAUGGGUAUGAUAGAAUGGUAGAAUGGAGGAACCUUUAACCUCCUUAGGGUUGAGUAUUUUGAUUCAUAAUUUUGAAUUUGGAUGCUAUGAUGGCUGUUAUAUGAUGAUUAUGUGAUGAAUUUCAUAUCCCUUAUGUCCGUGUAUUUUUCUGUUUUGAUGAUUGAUCUUAUAUUCACCAUUGUUGCAAUUUCGAAGGUUUUAGGCAUAUACUUAAAACCGUGCUUAAAUGAUUUAAUAGUGUUAAAAUUGUAAAUUAACUUUAGAUAAUUAGAGUAUUGCAUGGGUUGUAAUUUUCUAAGCAUUUCAAUUUUUACGGAAUCGAAAUCGUAGGUCCGGAAGGCCUCCGACGAUGAAAAAUGCAGAAAAUUCUGCAUUCUGUCCGUCCCGAUCGCGCUCAGCGCGGGAGCCUUUUUUUGUGUUUUUUGGUUGAAAUCGUUUUGGUCAUAACUUUUAAUCCGUAAGUCCAAAUCGAGUGUCAUUUGAAGUGUUGGAUAACUGAAAUAGAGGGCUAUAACUUUGUUUCAGGGAUAAAAUAAUUUUGGUGAUUAUUUCAGUGACGUUUUGGGGGUUGAAGAAGAUAAAAAUUGUGUUGGAAAUUUUAGAGAACAACAACUCUUUAGUAACGCCUUCGUGCACGGUUUUGAUCAUAACUUUCAACUCGUGAAUCAUUUUGGGUUGGAGUAUAAAGCAUUAGAAAGAUGACUCUAAGAGAUAUAAUGUGAUGGUGAUAAGUGAAUAGAUUGAGUAUUAUUCUUAUGCAUACUGUGUUGGUGAAAUUUUUGUUCAUACGGUAGGUUAAGGAAUUGUUGACACAUCCUGACGAUUUUGGUCAUAACUUUCAUUUUGUAAAUCCGAUUUUGAUGGCAUUUAAAGCGUUAGAAAGAUAACGCUCAGACCUAUAACGUAGUAGUGAUUGUUAAUGUGUUUUAAAAAUAUUCACAUGCCUACUAUGUUAAUAAAUGUAUUGGUUUAUACGUUUGGUUAAUGAAUCGUUGCAUUGUUGUAAUAUUAUUGUGUGAUAAUUAAGUUGUUAUAUCGAUGAUGUUAAGGUGUUGACGGGUUGUUGUUGUUUGUUGAUAUUAUUCAUGUGGUAACAUGAAUUGGUUGUUUCAUGAUGAAUGGUGUGAUGCAUAAAUGAUGAGAUGUGUGUGGGGAUCCUUUAGGUGAACCUUAUUGUGUUAAUGCAUGUUAUUUGAAGAAUUGGUUGUUUCAUGAUGAAUGGUGUGAUGCAUAAAUGAUGAGAUGUGUGUGGGGAUCCUUUAGGUGAACCUUAUUGUGUUAAUGCAUGUUAUUUGAGAGUCAUGCAUCUUGGUGUACGGGCUUCAGUCUAAUUUUGGUGAGCCUUGAUUCUAUGAUGAUGGAACGGGUGCGAGUAGCUAAUUCCUAUUAUGGGGGAUUAGUGAAGCGUUACCUAUAAUGAUGGUUACGAGUUUUGGUGAGCCUCGAUCCCGUUAUGAUGGAUCGGAUGCGACUAGCUAAUUCCUAUUAUGGGGGAUUAGUGAAGUGUUACCUAUGGUGAUGGUAGCGAUUUUGAUGUGCUCCGGUUCUAAGAGGGAAUCGAUCCUAUGGUGGGGACCAUGGAGUGAGAUGAACCUGAGUGUUCAUAUUUGGUACCACAUGCAUGUCGAGUCGAUGUUAAGUAUAUUGCAUAAGUGUUGCAUUUGUAUUGGUUGUUAUUGAUGUGUUGUUGAAUGAGAUGUUAUUGCAUAUGAUGUUAAUGAUAAUUGAGAUGUGGUUUUGUAUGAUGUUGGUGAUAAUUGAGAUGUUAUCGUGUAUGAUGUUGAUUAUGAUUUGGAUGUAAGAAUGUGAUAUAUUGUUGUGCAUGAUUGUGUAGAUGUUGUACUAUAUUCUUCAUUCUAUAUUGUUAUUAUUGAAAUGAAUUCUCACCCCUUCUGUUUGAUUGUUGCCUUUACAUGGGCAUCGUACAGAUACUCAAGAGUAGUACUGCUGAAGUAAGUGGAAGGUAGCUCUUGGAUUACUUCUUUAUUUUGUCUCUUUUACUAGUGGUGCCUUGCUCUGAUCAUGUAACAUUGGGUUGUGUUAAACGCUUAUUUUAUUCCUUAUGUGUGAUUAUGUUGAAGUCAUAAGACUAAUUUUGUUGUUGAGAAUUCUUAAGAUGUUGAGUUGAUUGAUUACAACUCUCUUAUUUUAUUAUUAAAUUGAAGUUGAGACUAGAUGUUAUUACUUGU